UAUUAAGACUGAUGUUUAACAAUAUUAUUAAGAUUGAUGCUUAAUAAUUAAUCGUAUUAUUUCUCCUAAUACCGCAGGGGGUGUACACCUACCCGUGAUAUUGUUCCUAAUAUCCAGGGAUGGAGAGCAUGAUACUAGUUUUAAUAUCUCAGUAGGUGUACACUCACCCUGUGACACUGAUCCUAAUAUCCAGGGAGUAGAGUAUGACAUGACUCCCAACAUAGCAGUGAAUGUACAGCCACCCGGUGAUAUUGCUCCUCAUAUUCACGGAAGAAGCGUAGGAUAUUACUUCCAAAAUCGCAGGGAGUGUACACCUCUUCUGUGAUAUUGUUCCUGGUAUCCCGAGGGGGAGAGGAUGAUGAUAAUUCCAGUAUCGCAGGCUGUGAUCACCCACCCUGUGAUAUUGUUAUUAACAUCCUGAAAGGGAGAGGAUGAUAUUACUCCCCGUAAUAGAUAGAUAUUACUCCCCAUAACAGAGCAGGAGGUUUACACCCACCCUGUGAUAUUGUUCCUAAUAUUCAGAGGCCGAGAGGUCGAUAUUACUCCCAAUAUGGCAGGAAGUGUACACCCCCGUGUGAGAUGGUCCUUAAUAAUAUUCCAAGGUGGAGGGGGAGAUAUUACUCCCAAUAUCGCAGAAAGUGUACACCCCCCCAGGGAUAUUGUUCUCAUGAUCCUGGAGGGAAGAGGAUGAUGUCACUUUAAAUAUCACAGAAGGUGUGCACGCCCCCACUGAUAUCGGUUCUAAUUUCCACGUGGGAGAGGAGGAUGUGACGCCCAAUCACACCUGCAGUAGAAACACAGCUAUGAUACUGUUCUUAAUAUUCAGAGAGGAGGACGAUGAUAUUACUCCCAAAACAGACGGCUGUACACCGUCUGCACACCGAGGGUGUACCCCCAUCUGUGAAAUAGUUUAUAAUUUCCAGAGGGGGAGAUGAUAACACUCCGAAUACCGUAAACAGGCUGUGAGUCCACCGCGGAUCCUAAAAACCAGGGAGGGAAGAGGGGCUGGCACUUACUCCCCGCAUCGCGUGGGGUGUCUCACCCCCUUGCGAUGGGGGUCCUAAGAGCCAGUGGGGGAUGAGGGGCUGGCUCUCAGUCACUGCCUCGCGGGUGGUCCUUCCCCCCGCUGCGAUGGGGGUCCUAAGAGCAAGGGGGGGAAGUAGGGCUGGCUCUCUGUCCCCGCCUCGCCGGAGGUACCUCGCACCCUUGCGAUGGGGGCCCUAACAGCCAGGGGGGGAAGAGGGGCUGCCUCUUACACCCCGCAUCAAGGGGGGUCCUGGCGAUGGGGGUCCUAAGAGCCACGGGGGAAGAGGGGCUGCCUCUCAGUCCCCGCCUCGCGGGGGGUGCCUCCUCCCCCUGCGAUGGGGGACCUAAGAGCCAGUGGGGGAAAGGAGCUGGCUGUCAGUCCGUGUCUCGCAGGGGUGCCUCCCCCCUCCGGGAUGGGGGUCCUAAGAGCCAGUGGGGGAUGAGGGGCUGGCUCUCAAUACCAGCCUCGCGGGGGUGCCUCACCCCCAGGCGAUGGGGAUCCUAAGAGCCAGGGGGGUAAGAGGGGCAGGCUCUCAUUCCCCGCCUUGCGGGGGGUGGCUACCUCCCCUGCGAUGGGGGUCCUUAGAGCCAGGAGGGGAAGAGGGGCUGGUUCUCAGUCCCCGCCUCGCGGGGGAUUCCUCCCCGUGCCGCAAUGGGGGUCCUAAUAGCCAGGUGGGGAAGAGGGGCUGGCUCUCAGUCCCUGCCUCGCGGGUGGUCCUUCCCCCCGCUGCGAUGGGGGUCCUAAGAGCAAGGGGGGAAGUGGGGCUGGCUCUCUGUCCCCGCCUCGCCGGGGGUGCCUUGCACCCUUGCGAUGGGGGUCCUAAGAGCCGGGGGGGGAAGUGAGGCUGGCUCUCAGUCACCACAGCAUGAGGGGCCUUUCUAUUCUGGUUUUGCCCAACAGUAAGCUUAUUUGAAUCUGGUUCUAGCAGGGCAGUUGCUGCGAAGGCCCUCAAACAGGGGGGCCAUCCUUUAGAAAACCUGUCUAGCUGUUUAGAGAGGUAGGCCACCGGCCUCAGCCAGGGCCCCACAGUUUGGGUUUAAAGUCCAGCUGCCAUCUUUUCUCUGACGCAUACAGUGGAAAAGGCUUUGUGAGAUCCGCUAGCCCCUGGGCUGGGGCUUUCAGAAGUUUUUCCUUUAAGUCAUGAAAGACUUGCUGUUGUUGGAAUCCCCAUUCCAAAUGUUCCCGGUCCCCGCCCCCUUUGUGACGUCGUACAAAGGCGUGGCUAAUACUGCAAAGUUGGGCUCCGCAGUCUACAAAACCCCACAGCUCCUAGGAAUUCUCUCACCAGCCUUCUGCCCUUAGGCUCCAGAAGAUUGCAAAUGACUUGCUUUCUUUCAGAUCCCGGGCUGCUUUCGGACACCUGUCGAAUAGUAAAUCCCAAGUAAGCUACCUGCGGUCAUCGGCAGAUCUGAGUUUUCUUCUUGGACACCUAAUACCCACAGCCCUCCAGAGACCGAGAGGUUGAUGUCACUCCCAAUAUCGGAGGAAGUAUACACCCCCAUGUGAGAUGUUCCUUAAUGAUAUUCCACGGCGGAGGGGGUGAUAUGACUACAUACAUGGCAGAAAGUGGAAACCCCCCAGGGAUAUUAUUCCCACGAUCCUGGAGGGAAGAAGAUGAUGUUACUUUCAAUAUGACAGAAGGUGGAUGAAGUGGUGGACUGCCCCUCCACACCUGUGGACACGCCCCCACUGAUAUUCCUUGUAAUUGCAACGUGGGAGAGGAGGAUAUGACACGCGAUAUCCAGGGAGCAGAAACACCCCUGUGAUACUGUUCUUCAUAUUCAGGGAGGAAGAGGAUGAUAUUACUCCCAAUACAGACGGGUGUACACCCGUCUGUGAAAGAGUUCGUAAUCUCCAGAGGGGGAGGUGAUAUUACUCACAAUAUGACUGAGUCUUGCUCUGUUGCCCAUGCUUUGCUGGAUCUCGGGUGACUGCAACCACUGCCUCCCAGGUUCAAGAGAUUCUCCUGCCUCAGCCUCCUGAGUAGCUGGGACUAGAGGCGUGUGUCACCACACCCAGCUAAUUUUUGUAUUUUUAGUAGAGAUGGGGUUUCACCAUGUUUGCCAGGAUGGUCUCUAUCUCCUGACCUUGUGAUCCACCCACCUCAGCCUCCCAAAGUGCUGGGAUUGCAGGUGCGAGCCACCGGGUCCAGCCUCUCAGGCGAUUUUCAUACCUGCAUACUCUGAUCACUACUCUGUUAAACAGUCAAGGAGGGUAAGUAUUAUCUUCAGAUUUCCAGAGCUCUGUCUCUGUACAGCCCUCUCCUCCUCAACAUUCUGCCCUAUGAAUUCUAGCCACAUUGGCCUUCCCAGACUCAGAGUUCUGUCCUCUCAACUCAGGAAGAUCUCUGAGCUCCAUCUGCAUUCUUUCUUCCUGUGCUGUGGCCUGGAAAGUUUUCUAAGGUGUUUGGGAGGUCAAUUGUGGGGCUAGCCUCAUUUGUUUCUCAUUUCUUGAGGAUCACUGCCUUUUGAUGCUUGAUUCCAGUGAUUGAUUCCCUUUGUUGGUUGAGGGCCAUAGUUUCAUAUAUUUUGUCCAGUAUUUUUGUUGUUUUAGGUCAGAAAGUAAUUUUGGUCUCUGUUACUCCAUCUUGGCCAGAAGGCUGAGUGCCACGUGCUGACAUCACUAAGAUCAAUACAGCAAACUCUGAAAGAUGGAGAGAGAGACAGGAGAUGGUCCUUUAUAAUGCAGUGUGAUCUGUGCUGCAAUAGAGAUGGAAGAGUGUUCUGAUCGGCUGGAAAACAACGCACAUGGGAAGCUGUACAGAAAUGAGUGGGGAAAGUUUUGGAAGCUAGAAGUUCAAAAUGAGGUGUUGGCAGCACCAUGCUCUCUCUGAAGAUGCUAGGAAGAAUCUGCUCCAUGCCUUUCCAUUAGCUUCUGGGGUUUCCUGCAAGCCCUGACAUUCCUUGGCUUGUAGAUGCAUCACCCCAGUUUCCGCCCCCAUCAUCACAUGGCCUCCUCUCUGUGUGUGCCUCUGCAUUCCCUCUAUUCUUCUUCUAAGGACACCGACACCAGUCAUAGUGGAUUAAGGGUCCACUCCUAACUAAUUACAUCUGCAACAACCCUAUUUCCAAAUAAAGUCACAUUCUAAGA